rnacentral:rRNA from 1 species
GAUGAACGCUGGCGGCGUGCCUAAUACAUGCAAGUCGAGCGAACAGACGAGGAGCUUGCUCCUCUGACGUUAGCGGCGGACGGGUGAGUAACACGUGGAUAACCUACCUAUAAGACUGGGAUAACUUCGGGAAACCGGAGCUGAUACCGGAUAAUAUAUUGAACCGCAUGGUUCAAUAGUGAAAGACGGUUUUGCUGUCACUUAUAGAUGGAUCCGCGCCGCAUUAGCUAGUUGGUAAGGUAACGGCUUACCAAGGCAACGAUGCGUAGCCGACCUGAGAGGGUGAUCGGCCACACUGGAACUGAGACACGGUCCAGACUCCUACGGGAGGCAGCAGUAGGGAAUCUUCCGCAAUGGGCGAAAGCUUGACGGAGCAACGCCGCGUGAGUGAUGAAGGUCUUCGGAUCGUAAAACUCUGUUAUUAGGGAAGAACAAAUGUGUAAGUAACUAUGCACGUCUUGACGGUACCUAAUCAGAAAGCCACGGCUAACUACGUG